rnacentral:rRNA from 1 species
UGCCCAAAGGACGGGGAUAACCUCGGGAAACUGAGGAUAAACCGCGAUAGGCCAAGGUUUCUGGAAUGAGCCAUGGCCGAAACCUAUAUGGCCUUUGGAUUGGACUGCGGCCGAUCAGGCUGUUGGUGAGGUAAUGGCCCACCAAACCUGUAACCGGUACGGGCUUUGAGAGAAGGAGCCCGGAGAUGGGCACUGAGACAAGGGCCCAGGCCCUAUGGGGCGCAGCAGGCGCGAAACCUCUGCAAUAGGCGAAAGCUUGACAGGGUUACUCUGAGUGAUGCCCGCUAAGGGUAUCUUUUGGCACCUCUAAAAAUGGUGCAGAAUAAGGGGUGGGCAAGUCUGGUGUCAGCCGCCGCGGUAAUACCAGCACCCCGAGUUGUCGGGACGAUUAUUGGGCCUAAAGCAUCCGUAGCCUGUUCUGCAAGUCCUCCGUUAAAUCCACCUGCUUAACGGAUGGGCUGCGGGGGAUACUGCAGAGCUAGGAGGCGGGAGAGGCAAACGGUACUCAGUGGGUAGGGGUAAAAUCCUUUGAUCUACUGAAGACCACCAGUGGCGAAGGCGGUUUGCCAGAACGCGCUCGACGGUGAGGGAUGAAAGCUGGGGGAGCAAACCGGAUUAGAUACCCGGGUAGUCCC